GAGCAGAGCAACUGGGAUUGCCCUAGUAACGGCGAGUGAAGCGGCAGUAGCUCAAAUUUGAAAUCUGGCUCUCGGGCCCGAGUUGUACUUUGCAGAGGGCGCCUUGGCGUUGGCAGCAGCCCAAGUUCCUUGGAACAGGACGUCCGGAGGGUGAGAAUCCCGUAGUGGUUGUGUAGCUCGCUAUGUGAGGCCCCUUCGACGAGUCGAGUUGUUUGGGAAUGCAGCUCUAAAUGGGAGGUAAAUUUCUUCUAAAGCUAAAUACUGGCCGAAGACCGAUAGCGCACAAGUAGAGUGAUCAAAAGAUGAAAAGCACUUUGAAAAGAGAGUCAAAAAGCACGUGAAAUUGUUGAAAGGGAAGCGCUCGCAGCCAGACGUGCCCGUGGCUGCUCAUCCAGGCGACGUGUCUGGUGUACUCUCCCGCGGGCAGGCCAGCAUCGGUUUGGGGGGUUGGACAAAGGCGCCGGGAAUGUGGCUCCUCUGGGGAGCGUUAUAGCCCGGUGCGCAAUGCAGCCAGCCCGGACCGAGGCCUGCGCGCAUGCUAGGAUGCUGGCGUAAUGGCUGCAAGCGGCCCGUCUUGAAAACCGGACCAAGGAGUCUAACUUCUAUGCGAGUGUUGGGGUGUCAAUCCCGGGCGCGCAAUGAAAGUGAACGGAGGUGGGAACCCUUUUUGGGGUGCACCAUCGACCGAUCCUGAUGUCUUCGGAUGGAUUUGAGUAAGAGCAUGGCUGUUGGAACCCGAAAGAUGGUGAACUAUGCCUGAAUAAGAUGAAGCCAGAGGAAACUCUGGUGGAGGCUCGCACCGGCUCUGACAUGCAAAUCGAUCGUCGAAUUUGGGCAUAAGGGCGAAAGACUAAUCGAACCAUCUAGUAGCUGGUU
rnacentral:rRNA from 1 species